rnacentral:rRNA from 1 species
AGUGAACGCUGGCGGCGUGCUUAACACAUGCAAGUCGAACGAGAACGGAAUAUAGCUUGCUAUAUUUGUCAGCUAAGUGGCGCACGGGUGAGUAAUGUAUAGAUAACCUGCCCUUAAGAAAGGAAUAACAGUUGGGAACGACUGCUAAUGCCCUAUAUGCCUUUAAUACAUAAGUAUGCAAGGGAAACGCGUUAGAGCUUAAGGAUGGGUCUGUAUGGUAUCAGCUUGUUGGUGAGGUAAUGGCUCACCAAGGCUAUGACGCCUAACUGGUUUGAGAGGAUGAUCAGUCACACUGGAACUGAGACACGGUCCAGACUCCUACGGGAGGCAGCAGUGGGGAAUAUUGCACAAUGGACGAAAGUCUGAUGCAGCAACGCCGCGUGGAGGAUGACACAUUUCGGUGCGUAAACUCCUUUUAUAUAGGAAGAUAAUGACGGUACUAUAUGAAUAAGCACCGGCUAACUCCGUGCCAGCCGCCGCAGUAA